ensembl:lncRNA
CUAUCCCAAGAUAUUUGGAAUAGACAACCGUGCACAAUUAUUCCUAAGUUCUGUAAUGGCUUUGCUCACUUCUUCAUUUGAGCUUAAUGCCAUCAACCAGGAGAGUAAGCAUGUCCCAUCCCCUUUCACCCUGGGACUCCUUUGGGCAUUGUAGGUCAAUACCAAAUAGGUUUUUGUUUUUUGUUUUCCCUCCACCGAACCUGGGCUUUUGGUAAGGGAUAGAUGUGAGGCAAGGCCAGUCCCAGGUCGGAGGUGUGGGGGUGGGGACUGUGCCCUUUCCCCUUGUUGCUGGUGGUGUAUCCCUUAAUGUGUGUUUGGAGCCGGAACCCCAAUUGCAGAGUGUGGCAAAAGCAAGGGCUCCAGCUGAAGGGAGGGGUGGAGGAAGGAGGUGUGUGGAAGAGCUGCGCAGGCCCAGAGUAAAAGGCAGGCCAGGAGGCUUGGAGCGCAGGCGCUCAGGGGCAGGCAGGUGGCACGCAGGCGCAGUAGGGGCAGGCAGGUGGCACGUGGCGGAGGGGGAGGGGAGCGGAAAGUUCCUGCCUUUUCUGUCAGAGCCUCCCUGUGUCGCUGUGCCUAGCAUUAAGGUCCGCCAAGGCAAAAGACUGGAAGUUGCAUGUGGACUGUGUGAGGUUUUCUCCCUCCCCUUGCCUUCCUUCCUGCUUUCUUCCCUCCCUGGUGAAAUGAAGGUCCCCUCAUGA